CAGCAGCCGCGGUAGUACAGAGGGUGCAAGCGUUAAUCGGAAUUACUGGGCGUAAAGCGCGCGUAGGUGGUUCGCCAAGUUGGAUGUGAAAUCCCCGGGCUCAACCUGGGAACUGCAUCCAAAACUGGCGAGCUAGAGUAUGGUAGAGGGUGGUGGAAUUUCCUGUGUAGCGGUGAAAUGCGUAGAUAUAGGAAGGAACAUCAGUGGCGAAGGCGACCACCUGGACUGAUACUGACACUGAGGUGCGAAAGCGUGGGGAGCAAACAGGAUUAGAUACCCCAGUAGUCCCUGUCUCUUAUAC
rnacentral:rRNA from 1 species